rnacentral:rRNA from 1 species
GUGGCGGUUUUGACGCCGUCAUGGCCGGAGAGAAAUUGUUAAGUGCACCGCCUGGGGAGUACGGUCGCAAGGCUAAAACUCAAAGGAAUUGACGGGGGCUCACACAAGCGGUGGAGCAUGUUGCUUAAUUCGAAGCAACGCGAAGAACCUUACCAGGGUUUGACAUGCACGGAUUAGCCAUUGGAAACAGUGGUGACGCCCUUUGGGUGGAACGUGCACAGGUGCUGCAUGGCUGUCGUCAGCUCGUGCUGUGAAGUGUCGGGUUAAGUCCCUUAACGAGCGCAACCCCUGUCGCUAGUUGCCAGCGAGUCAUGUCGGGGACUCUAGCGAGACUGCCGGUGUCAAACCGGAGGAAGGUGGGGAUGACGUCAAGUCCUCAUGGCCCUUAUGUCCUGGGAUGCAAACGUGCUACAAUGGCGCGUACAAUGCGACGCGAGGCCGCAAGGCGGAGCAAAUCGCAAAAAGCGCGCCCCAGUUCGGAUUGCAGGCUGAAACCCGCCUGCAUGAAGUUGGAAUCGCUAGUAAUCGGAGAUCAGCUAUGCUCCGGUGAAUACGUUCCUGAGCCUUGUACACACCGCCCGUCAAGUCAUGGAAGCCGGUAGUGCCCGAAGUCGCCACAUCUCAGUGGUGCCCACGGCAAGAUCGGUGACUGGGACU